rnacentral:rRNA from 1 species
UGGCUCAGGAUGAACGCUGGCGGCGUGCCUAACACAUGCAAGUCGAGCGAUCUUCGGAAGCGGCGGACGGGUGAGUAACGCGUAGGCAACCUGCCUCAUGCAGAGGGAUAGCCUCGGGAAACCGGGAUUAAAACCUCAUGAUGCAAGGAACACAUGUUUUCUUGUCAAAGAUUUAUCGGCAUGAGAUGGGCCUGCGUCUGAUUAGCUAGUUGGUAGGGUAACGGCCUACCAAGGCAACGAUCAGUAGCCGACCUGAGAGGGUAAUCGGCCACAUUGGAACUGAGACACGGUCCAAACUCCUACGGGAGGCAGCAGUGGGGAAUAUUGCACAAUGGGCGAAAGCCUGAUGCAGCAACGCCGCGUGAGCGAAGAAGGCCUUUGGGUCGUAAAGCUCUGUCCUUGGGGAAGAAACAAAUGACGGUACCCAAGGAGGAAGCCCCGGCUAACUACGUGCCAGCAGCCGCGGUAAUACGUAGGGGGCGAGCGUUAUCCGGAAUUAUUGGGCGUAAAGAGUGCGUAGGUGGUCUUGUAAGCGUGGGGUGAAAGGCAGUGGCUUAACCAUUGUAAGCCCUGCGAACUGUGAGACUUGAGUGCAGGAGAGGAAAGCGGAAUUCCUAGUGUAGCGGUGAAAUGCGUAGAUAUUAGGAGGAACACCAGUGGCGAAGGCGGCUUUCUGGACUGUAACUGACACUGAGGCACGAAAGCGUGGGGAGCAAACAGGAUUAGAUACCCUGGUAGUCCACGCCGUAAACGAUGAGCACUAGGUGUCGGGGUCGCAAGACUUCGGUGCCGCAGUUAACGCAUUAAGUGCUCCGCCUGGGGAGUACGCACGCAAGUGUGAAACUCAAAGGAAUUGACGGGGACCCGCACAAGCAGCGGAGCAUGUGGUUUAAUUCGAAGCAACGCGAAGAACCUUACCAGGACUUGACAUCCCUCUACAGUCCCUUAACCGGGAUCUUCCUUCGGGAAGAGGAGACAGGUGGUGCAUGGUUGUCGUCAGCUCGUGUCGUGAGAUGUUGGGUUAAGUCCCGCAACGAGCGCAACCCUUGUCAAUAGUUGCCAGCAGUAAGAUGGGCACUCUAUUGAGACUGCCGUGGAUAACACGGAGGAAGGUGGGGAUGACGUCAAAUCAUCAUGCCCCUUAUGUUCUGGGCUACACACGUGCUACAAUGGCUGGUACAGAGAGACGCAAGACCGUGAGGUGGAGCAAAUCUCCAAAACCAGUCCCAGUUCGGAUUGUAGGCUGCAACUCGCCUACAUGAAGUUGGAGUUGCUAGUAAUCGCAGAUCAGAAUGCUGCGGUGAAUGCGUUCCCGGGUCUUGUACACACCGCCCGUCACACCAUGGAAGUUGGGGGUGCCCAAAGUCGGCCGUAAGGCUGCCUAAGGCAAAAUCAAUGACUAGGGUGAAGUCGUA